rnacentral:tRNA from 1 species
GGGCCCGUCGCCUAGUCAGGAUAGGGCGUCGGCCUCCUAAGCCGAUGGUCGAGGGUUCAAAUCCCCCCGGGCCCGCCA